rnacentral:tmRNA from 1 species
GGGGGCGACAGGCUUCGACAGGGGCUUGUUUAGAUCUUUGAAUGCACGUCGGGCUUGUGUGGUUAGCUCGUUAAAAAAACUAUACAAAAAACAAAUGCUAAUCAAGAAUUAGCUCUUGCUGCUUAGUUAACUCUAAACCAGAAGUGUCUUAUCGGAAGUCCGCCUGAUGCGACCGAAUAAGGCAUAACUCAUUUCAGGCUCGGAAGCGUUCUCCACCUGCGAACGUAUCUUAAAGUUAGUCGGGUUAGCUUGUUGAGAGGUCUUGUCUGUUCAUCUGCUCUCGACUAGCGAAAAUCAAGUGAACCGACUAAGCGUGUAGAUUUCACUGGUCGCAACCUUUGGAUGCGGGUUCGAUUCCCGCCGCCUCCACCA